rnacentral:rRNA from 1 species
GAUGAACGCUGGCGGCGUGCCUAAUACAUGCAAGUCGAGCGAAUGGAUUAAGAGCUUGCUCUUAUGAAGUUAGCGGCGGACGGGUGAGUAACACGUGGGUAACCUGCCCAUAAGACUGGGAUAACUCCGGGAAACCGGGGCUAAUACCGGAUAACAUUUUGAACCGCAUGGUUCGAAAUUGAAAGGCGGCUUCGGCUGUCACUUAUGGAUGGACCCGCGUCGCAUUAGCUAGUUGGUGAGGUAACGGCUCACCAAGGCAACGAUGCGUUGCCGACCUGAGAGGGUGAGCGGCCACGCUGGGACGGAGACACGGCCCAGACUCCUACGGGAGGCAGCAGUAGGGAAUCUUCCGCAAUGGACGAAAGUCUGACGGAGCAGCGCCGCGUGAGUGAUGAAGGCUUUCGGGUCGUAAAACUCUGUUGUUAGGGAAGAACAAGUGCUAGUUGAAUAAGCUGGCACCUUGACGGUACCUAACCAGAAAGCCACGGCUAACUACGUGCCAGCCGCCGCAGUAA